AUAACGGAAGAUAACUCGUAUCAGAAACGAGAAAAGUCUUCAGCUGUUAGAGAAGCCCUAAGACUAGAUCCAAAGCGUGUGCGCACAGAAGAAAUGUUUGCAGCCAGCUUCCCAGAUGUUAAAGAGCAUCAAAACCACCCUGUUUUUGGAAAGGAAUCAAGAGACAUUCGGAACAUCAUGAAAGAGGUCAAGGCAGAAAACAGGUGCAGACCAUCAUAAUCUACAGGCCUUGGUAAACACAUGGAAAGAAGAGGGCUGUGCCGUUGAGUACAGACCCUCUCAGGAGGAAGAGGAGGAGGAUGGUAGCGUGGUGAAGAUGCUGCUGUGCUUGCAGACGCCGUGGCAGAAGAGGCUUAUGCGACUGUAUGGACAGCAGAUGUGCUUACUGGAUGAAUCCUAUCGAGCUGGCAGGUGCGUCGGUGGUGCAGUUUGUCAUUUAAUGUGUACUAGUAUACAAGAAUGAAAUCUCAGAUUCACUACACCUAAACAUAAAAACUAUUUACUGGUCUUUGCCAUGCAGAAAUUCACUGCCACUCUUCUUUCUGUGGGUGAGGACGAAUGUCCGCUGUUGGAGUGUUUGUCACUCAGACAGAGACCAAAGAGGACAUCGCAGAAGCCUUGAAGGUGUUUCAGAAGUGGAAUUCAGACUGGAAUCCAUCACACUUCAUGGUGGACUUCUGUGAGGCGGAAAUCAGUGCUUUAGAGGAGGUGUUUAAGGGUUCUAAAGUGCUCCUCUGUGAUGUUCACCGAGAGAAGGCAUGGAUGGAGUGGAUAAGAAAAAAGGAGAAUGGUGUGACAUCUCAGGAAGAGGUUCUUAAACUUCUACAGGCCAUUGCAGAUUCUCAGACGAAUGAGGAGUUUGAGAACAACACUGUUACCCUCCAACAACAUCCAGACUGGCAGUCAAAUGAGAAGCUGAGAAGGUUCGUCAGCACAUGGCUAGUUCAUGCAGAGAGGUGGGUGAACAUGUUCGGAAAUGAGAACAUGCAUGUGGCUGCCUUCAAAAAUAAAGGUGUUAAAAGUCAAAAGGAUGUCCUGAAGCAUUCACACCUAAAGGGACACAGAAACUGCAGUCUCAGCGAAACGCUUAUAGUCAGUAUGAACAACUUCCUGCCAAGAUCGUAUCAAAAGUAUGUUGAAUUGAAUAUCAAAUGCUCAAGUGGCUCUCGCAAAUACAGCACAAAUGUGCCUUGUUAUGCAGGACACAGUCCAAGAAUUAUGUCUCAACACAUUAUAAAGAGGCACCAAGAGUCGCUGCCCUUCAAUGCAAGUGACAUAACAUCUGCUGGAGAGAACGUCUUCAAUGUUCAGAGUCAAACUUCACUGGAAAAACAUCAGGUGAACUUUGGUAAAGACGAUGAGAUGCCUUCAUGUACAUGCACGGACUGGCAGAGACAUCUUCUCCCAUGCCAGCAUUUCUGUGCUGUUUUUGCCUUAGUUCCUGGCUGGAGUUGGGAGAAUCUGAGUGCUGCGUACAGGAAGAACCCUCUCUUCACGUUUGACGAGGUUUGCCUGGGACAGUCUGCUACACUUCCUGCUGAUCUUCAAGGCGAAGAGGCUCUGAAGAAAAAUCAGGAGAAAGAUAGUAGUCCAGAGAGAUGUCCAUCUCCUGCUCCCUCAGAGCCCAUCCUGACCAAUCCUGAAGCAGAAAAAAGCGAGAAGUGCUGUAGCUUGUUGAAGGAGAUAUCAGAAUUGACAUGCCACAUACAGGACGGGACCUUUCUAGAUUCAGUAACUGAUCGCCUUACAGAUCUGUUAAAAGAUAUAAGGCGACACACUCCCCAUGAUGACAUCCUUGACCUUUCCUACGCCCCACCAUCCAAGAAAAUGUGUUCAGCAUCUGCAGAGCACCCAGAAUCAAUUAACACAGUUCCUCUGUAUCUGGAGAAGAUAAUGAGGGCAACCCAUACAAGUGAAUUUUGAACUACAUUUUUAAGGUGUUACUUCCCUCAAUCGUGAUUUGUGGUUGUAAACAUUUUUGUCAUUAAAAUGCUUUAAUUUUUUGGAAUAAUUGAGUUGUAAUUUCUGUUAUUCCGAUAUAACAUGAUUGAUGUAGCCUAACAAAACCUCAAGUAGUGUGAUAUCAUUGUCCUUUGCUUUCCUGACAAAAGUACCGUGCUGGUCAUUAAAAUACGAAAAAAAGUGAAUUUUACUAAUGUGAAGAUUCUCUCUAUUGUACAGUGGAGUUCAAAUAUUUGGGGCCGGUAAGAUAUUUGAAUGUUUUUGAAAGAAUUCUCUUCUGCUCACCAACGCUGCAUUUAUUUGAUACAGUAAAACAGGAAUAUUGUGAAAUAUUAUUACAGUUUAAAAUACCUGUUUUCUACUGGAAUAUAUUUUUAAAUGUAAUUUAUUCCUGUGAUGCAAAGCUGAAUUUUCCAGCAUCAUUACUCCAGUCUUCAAUGUCACAUGAUCCUUCAGAAAUCAUUCUAAUAUACUGAUUUGCUGCUUAAGAAAUACAGGUGCUGGUCAUAUAAUUAGAAUAUCAUCAAAAAGUUGAUUUAUUUCACUAAUUCCAUUCAAAAAGUGAAACUUGUAUAUUAUAUUCAUUCAUUACACACAGACUGAUAUAUUUCAAAUGUUUAUUUCUUUUCAUUUUGAUGAUUAUAACUGACAACUAAGGAAAAUCUCAAAUUCAGUAUCUCAGAAAAUUAGAAUAUUACUUAAGACCAAUACAAAGAAAAGAUUUUUAAAAACUUUGGCCAACUGAAAAUUAUGAGCAUGAAAAGUAUGAGCAUGUACAGCACUCAGUACUUAGUUGGGGCUCCUUUUGCCUGAAUUACUGCAGCAAUGCGGCGUGGCAUGGAGUCGAUCAGUCUGUGGCACUGCUCAGGUGUUAUGAGAGCCCAGGUUGCUCUGAUAGUGGCCUUCAGCUCUUCUGCAUUCUUGGGUCUGGCAUAUCGCAUCUUCCGGACCUCAAGCAACGUGGAUUGUGUGCCUCUCCUCUCUUCCUCCAGACUCUGGGACCCUGAUAUCCAAAGUAAAUGCAAAAUUUACUUUCAUCAGAGAACAUAACUUUGGACCACUCAGCAGCAGUCAAGUCCUUUUUGUCUUUAGCCCAUUCUGACGCUGUCUGUUGUUCAAGAGUGGCUUGACACAAGAAUGCGACAGCUGAAACCCAUGUCUUGCAUACGUCUGUGCAUAGUGGUUCUUGAAGCACUGACUCCAGCUGCAGUCCACUCUUUGUGAAUCUCCCCCACAUUUUUGAAUGGGUUUUGUUUCACAAUCCUCUCCAGGGUGCGGUUAUCCCUAUUACAUGUACACUUUUUUCUACCACAUCUUUUCCUUCCCUUCGCCUCUCUAUUAAUGUGCUUGGACACAGAGCUCUGUGAACAGCCAGCCUCUUUAGCAAUGACCUUUUGUGUCUUGCCCUCCUUGUGCAAGGUGUCAGUGGUCGUCUUUUGGACAUCUGUCAAGUCAGCAGUCUUCCCCAUGAUUGUGUAGCCUACAGAACUAGACUGAGAGACCAUUUAAAGGCCUUUGCAAGUGUUUUGAGUUAAUUAGCUGAUUAGAGUGUGGCACCAGGUGUCUUCAAUAUUGAACCUUUUCACAAUAUUCUAAUUUUUUGAGAUACUGAAUUUGGGAUUUUCCUUAGUUGUCAGUUAUAAUCAUCAAAAUUAAAAGAAAUAAACAUUUGAAAUAUAUCUGUCUCUGUGUAAUG
ensembl:lncRNA